rnacentral:rRNA from 1 species
UACGAAGGGGGCUAGCGUUGCUCGGAAUCACUGGGCGUAAAGGGUGCGUAGGCGGGUCUUUAAGUCAGGGGUGAAAUCCUGGAGCUCAACUCCAGAACUGCCUUUGAUACUGAAGAUCUUGAGUUCGGGAGAGGUGAGUGGAACUGCGAGUGUAGAGGUGAAAUUCGUAGAUAUUCGCAAGAACACCAGUGGCGAAGGCGGCUCACUGGCCCGAGUACUGACGCUGAGGCACGAAAGCGUGGGGAGCAAAGCAGG